rnacentral:snRNA from 1 species
GUGCUUGCUUCAGCAGCACAUAUACUAAAAUUGGAGCAAUACAGAGAAGAUUAGUAUGGUCCCUGUGCAAGGAUGACACACAAAUUCAUGAAGUGCUCCAUAAAAAU